rnacentral:misc_RNA from 1 species
CACCUGAAGGUAUUACUGUAU